rnacentral:rRNA from 1 species
CUACGUGCCAGCAGCCGCGGUAAUACGGAAGGUCCAGGCGUUAUCCGGAUUUAUUGGGUUUAAAGGGAGUGUAGGCGGUCUGUUAAGCGUGCUGUGAAAUUUAGGUGCUCAACAUCUACCUUGCAGCGCGAACUGGCGGACUUGAGUGCACGCAACGUAUGCGGAAUUCAUGGUGUAGCGGUGAAAUGCUUAGAUAUCAUGACGAACUCCGAUUGCGAAGGCAGCGUACGGGAGUGUUACUGACGCUUAAGCUCGAAGGUGCGGGUAUCGAACAGGAUUAGAUACCCUGGUAGUCCGCACGGUAAACGAUGGAUGCCCGCUGUUAGCGCCUGGCGUUAGCGGCUAAGCGAAAGCAUUAAGCAUCCCACCUGGGGAGUACGCCGGCAACGGUGAAACUCAAAGGAAUUGACGGGGGCCCGCACAAGCGGAGGAACAUGUGGUUUAAUUCGAUGAUACGCGA